rnacentral:rRNA from 1 species
UACGGAGGGUGCAAGCGUUGUUCGGAAUCACUGGGCGUAAAGCGCGUGUAGGCGGUCUGCUAAGUCUGAUGUGAAAGCCCGGGGCUCACCCUCGGAAGUGCAUUGGAAACUGACAGACUGGAGUCCCGGAGAGGAGGGUGGAAUUCCUGGUGUAGCGGUGAAAUGCGUAGAUAUCAGGAGGAACACCGGUGGCGAAGGCGGCCCUCUGGACGGUGACUGACGCUGAGACGCGAAAGCGUGGGGAGCAAACAGG